rnacentral:lncRNA from 1 species
UUGUAAAACCCUAUUUUCUGGAUCUCAGAUCAUCAAUUGGCGCCGUCAAUGGGAAAAACGAAGGAGAUCUUUUCAUCGCCGGAGUUUCACUCUUAUAAUACCCACUGAGAUCCACGAUGGCUAACCACAACGAAAACAAUCUUGUCAACAUCCCUAAUGACCUGAGCUCCGCUCAGGAGGGACAACAGUUCUCUUUUUCCAGUCCCACAACCCCAAACAACCAAACACCAAUUCCCUUCAACCCUUCGCCAAGCUUGGCAGGGAACGUGCCUGGUCCUGCUCUAUCCAACCAGGACCUUCAAACCAUGGCCCUCCAACUACAAAAUACCGCUCACUGGCUGGGGCAGAUGAUGCAACAACGAGGCCUCAGUACCCCAAUAAAUGUGUUGUCGGUGGUAGAAGAGCCCCGGACCAAUGAACCUCAGCCUACCUUCAACCAUCUCCAAACCGUCAGCCGAGAAACCGGAGACGGAGGGAGAAGAGCCGGAGAAGAGGAAGAGCUGAAAGCUCGAGUUCAUGGAAGGAGGGUGAGGGAAAUGAUUCAGAAUGAUGAGGCCGACAGUUAUUCUGCCGGCAUAACCAAGCGAACGAGAAGCGAAGCGGAGGAAGAGGAGUACCGCCGGGAGAGGAAACCCAGGCAAGAGGAGGAGAGUGUAGACCGAAAGCUGCAAAAGAUGAGAAAACAGCUCUUGGCCGAGUUGGGAACGAAGGAUCAGAAUCAAACUUUCAUGCCCACCUCUUCACCCUUCUCGACAUGGGUGCAGCAGGAGAUCGUUCCCAAAAAACUUAUGAUGCCGCCUAUAGCCGCAUAUGACGGAGCUGGGAACUCCUGGGAGCACGUCUUGAACUACAAAACUUUCAUGGAACUGCAGACUUUAUCAGAUGCCUUGAUGUGCAAGGUGUUCCCAACAACGCUCUCGGGGCCAGCACGGGCAUGGUUUAACAGCCUUGAGACCGGAAGCAUCAGAAGCUUUGGAGAUCUGGCCACUCGCUUCAUCAGCCGGUUCAUUGCCGGGGUGCCUGUAGACAGAAAGACAAGUUAUCUGGAAACAGUCAGGCAGAGAAGGGAUGAAUCGCUCAGGGAAUACGUUGCUCGUUUCAAUACGGAGGCCUUGCAGAUUCCCGAACUAGAUGAGAGCAGAGCGGCGGAGGCAAUGCAGAAAGGGAUGACCUCGCCCGAGUUCUUCGGUUCAUUGAGCAGGAAGCCUCCCACCUCACUAGCGGAGCUAAUAAAGAGGGUAGAAAAGUACAUCAGGUAGGAUGAUGCCUUGGUGACGAGCAGGUUUGCCAGAGGAGCGGUAGAUAAGGGAAAAGCCUCGGAGGAGAGAAGGCCGGAAAGGCAGGAGAGAAGGCCGGAAAGGCAGGAGAAGAAGCAAGGCAGAAGAUCUGAAACCUACAGACAGCCCUGGGAGUGAAGGGACCAAAGACCUCCCCUUCUUAGGAUUCCUGAACAGAAAUCACUUCCGCCGUUGGUUCCAGAGAAGCCGACUCCACUCAAUGCCUCCAGAGCCGAAGUACUCAUGGCCGUCCAAGACAAGGAGUUCUUACAAUGGCCUAGACCUAUGAGAAUGGAAGCAGACCAGCGAGAUCCUGACAAAUACUGUCAGUAUCAUCGCACAUAUGGCCACGACACCAAUAACUGCUUCCAGUUGAUUACUGAGAUCGAGAGGCUGAUAAAGAGGGGACACCUCAAGAACUUUGUGAAGAAACCGGAGGGAUAAAGGCCUCAGCCGAACCCAGCAGCGCAAACACUUAGGAGAAUGGGAGCGGGGCCAGUGAAUGAUGGGUUCAGUGGGACCAUCAACAUGAUCGUUGGAGAAACAGGAGGUCGAAUGAGCCGGUGAAGCAGAAGAAAAGGGUGGAAGCAAGGGAAAAGUAACAGGCCACCAGGGAGGAGGUAUGAAAGCUAGAGGAGGCCGGGUUUAUUAGGGAAGUGAUGUAGCUACAAUGGUUAGCAAAUCCUGUAUUAGUCAAGAAAGCCAAUGGCAAAUAUAGGAUGUGUAUAGACUUCAUUGACCUAAAUCAAGCAUGUCCUAAGGAUUGUUACCCCCUCCCUGACAUUAAUAAAAUGGUCGACUCUACGGCCGGUUUUGAUUACAUGUCUUCUUUGGAUGAUAUGUUUGGUUAUCACCAAAUUCCAAUGGACAGGUCGGAUGAAGGAAAGACCUCGUUCAUAACAGAAGAUGGGACUUAUUGUUAUAAAGCCAUGCCCUUCGGGCUGAAGAACAUCGGGGCGACAUACCAAAGACGGAUGAACAAAUUCUUCAAAAGUCAGAUCGGCAGGAACGUAGAAGUUUAUGUAGAUGAUAUGGUGGUCAAAAGCCCAACUUUCCAACAGCACAUGGUAGAUCUAAGGGAGGCAUUCGAGGUGCUAGAACAGUACAGAAUGAGGUUGAACCCAGCAAAAUGUGCCUUCUUCAUCAAGGGAGGAAAAUUCCUGGGAUACAUGGUAAGUGAGAAAGGCAUUGAGCCCAAUCUUGAGAAACCUAGAAGCUACAGGAAAAAGAGCGGCAGUAGGCAAGUUGGCACCGAUCUAGGAGGGCCCAUUCAAAAUAGCAAAGGUGGUCAAGCCAGGGGUAUAUCGAAUUGAAGAUAUGCAGGGAAACCCUGAGCCCCAUGCCUGGAAUAUCCAACACUUGAAAAGGUACUUCCCCUGAGGUAUUAUCAAAUGUAAAAAACCUAUCAUAUUUUAAAGCAUGAUAAUAAAACAGACGUUGAUUACCUUCCCAAUUCAUUAUUUGUCUCUACUCACAUUGCUUUCAUGAAAUAAACAAAAAAGAAAAAAAAAUGAAACAGGUAUAAAUGCCCAAGGCCUCAGGGAGGUAGAAGACCGAGAUCCCCAAGAUCUCCCGGAGCUACAAGUAACCGAACUGAGACAUAGAGACCUCAGGGAGGUGGAAGACCGGGAUCCUCAAGAUCUCCCGGCACCAACAUAAACCAAACUGAGACAUAGAGACCUCAGGGAGGUAGAAGACCGGGAUCCCCAAGAUCUCCCGGAGCUACAAGUAACCGAACUGAGACAUAGAGACCUCAAGGAGGUAGAAGACCAGGAUCCC